rnacentral:rRNA from 1 species
GCCUAUGGCCAUACCACCCUGAACAUGCCAGAUCUCGUCUGAUCUCGGAAGCUAAGCAGGGUCAGGCCUGGUUAGUACUUGGAUGGGAGACCACCUGGGAAUACUGGGUGCUGUAGGCU